rnacentral:rRNA from 1 species
GAUGAACGCUGGCGGCGUGCUUAACACAUGCAAGUCGAACGAAGCACUCUAUUUGAUUUUCUUCGGAAAUGAAGAUUUUGUGACUGAGUGGCGGACGGGUGAGUAACGCGUGGGUAACCUGCCUCAUACAGGGGGAUAACAGUUGGAAACGACUGCUAAUACCGCAUAAGCGCACAGUAUCGCAUGAUACAGUGUGAAAAACUCCGGUGGUAUGAGAUGGACCCGCGUCUGAUUAGCUAGUUGGUGGGGCAACGGCCUACCAAGGCGACGAUCAGUAGCCGAACUGAGAGGGUGACCGGCCACAUUGGGACUGAGACACGGCCCAAACUCCUACGGGAGGCAGCAGUGGGGAAUAUUGCACAAUGGGGGAAACCCUGAUGCAGCGACGCCGCGUGAACGAAGAAGUAUUUCGGUAUGUAAAGUUCUAUCAGCAGGGAAGAUAAUGACGGUACCUGACUAAGAAGCACCGGCUAAAUACGUGCCAGCCGCCGCAGUAA